AAAAUUCUGGAUGAAGUCUGCUUUUGGGAUAAAAGAUAGAGAAGAAAGCAGCAUAUGGGUAGAGGGCAUGAAGAUUCUUAUAAGGGUUUCUAUUGCUCUCCUGCUUUCUCUCAUUGAUUGAGCAUCGGUGCCAUUGGAUAAUGGAGUGUGGUGGAGUUGGUGUGAGUACACAAGGCCCCAAUAGGAAAAACAUUUUAUAAUAAUAAGGAAAGUGUCCCAGAUGAGUUCUGUAUGCACAGAUGGUAUGUGUGUGUGUACAUGUCUCUCUGUGUGUGUGUAUAUGUAUGCAUAUGUAUGAAGUGCAUGUGUGUAUGUCUGUGCAUAUGUGUGUGGGGGGGUGUAUGCACACACACUAGAGAACAACCUCUCAGAUGUUGUGCUCAUGUUGCGCACAUGCAUUUGGAAGCCAGAGGUCUUCAUUAGGUGUCUCGGUUGCUCCCUAUCUAAUCUGAGACACAGUCUCUCACUGAGCCCAGAGUUCAUUGAUUUGACUAGAAUGACUGGCCAAUGAGAUCCAUGGAUUCACCUUUCUUUGAGCCUCCAACCCUGAUGUGAUCCUUCUACUCUGUAUAAUGGAGUUUAUGCUCUGAGGUUCAAAGUCUGAGUCUGGAAUCCCUCUGAGCAGAGAAGCCAGAAAGAUGACUGAGGAGGCAAACUCCUGGGAGAGUGAAAUGAUGAACGAGGUAGACUUCACACACACUUACCCACAGUCCCAGGGCAACACCUGAAGAGUAUCAGUGGAAUGUAGCAUGGGCAGCAAGCAAGGCUGUGGAAACUGACCCGGUACUGGGAUGACCACCCAGGGAAGGAAUAAGACAAGUGUUACAAUCCAACCCUUAACUAAUGGUUCACUUACUCAAGCUAGCAGAAAUCCAAGACUCCUCAGAGAAUUACAACAAGACUCAGGUGUUCAGGAUUCAGAAUCAUCUGAAAUUGUAGACUUUCAACAAAUGGGCCUGAUUCUCAAGGGCAAUCAAUCAAGGGCAAUCAAUGAAAUCAACAAAGGCCAAGCGUGGUAUAAUGAGGAAGGUUGAAAUUCUUAGAUUGACCAUAAAGGCACCAUUGUGACAAUGACACAUGAAAUGAGGGGGUGGGGUACUUCUAAAGCACUUGGAGUUAGAUGAAUUCUCAGUGGCAAAACGGAAAUCAUAAAGACAGAACCUGUGAUGGUUAGUGCUAUCAACAUGGCACAAUCUGGGGGACUUACUGUCCAGAUUAGGCCUGUGGACAUGUCUUGGGGAUUGUCUUGAUUACAUUAAUUGCGGUAGGAAGUCCCAGCCCAAUAGAAGGAAGCUCUGUUCCCUGGCUUUUGGUUUUGGAUUGCAUGAAAAAAAGGAGAAAGCCAACUAUGUACUGGCAAGCAUGGAUGCAUUUGGUUUUUCUCUGAACUUCACUGUCGACAUGACUGUUUCAAGUUCUCAAGGCCUUUGACUUGAAUGGACAUGAGGGACUGAGCCAGAGUAAACUGUUUCUUCCCUAAUCGAGUUUGGAGGAUGUUCUGUCAAAGCGUCUGGAAAAGAAACUCAGACCCCAAUUCGAAUUUUAGGAUUGGAAUAUGUAACAUCUGAAACUGGCAAAAGUGCUAGGUUCAUUUAGCUGAAUAGAUGGAGCCCAAGGUUCAAAUUGAACAGGAAUCCAGCAAACUUGAAAACAGGAAGAGGAAUGAUUCCAGGUGAAAGUAGAGCGUGAAGUGAUGGAGAUGUGGCCCGUGAGAUGGCUCAACAGGGAACAGCACAAUUAGGAGAUGUGGCCUUAUUGGAGGAGUUGCAUCCUUGUUGGAGAAAGCGUGUCACUGUGUAGGUGAGCUUUGAAAAUUCCUAUGCUUGGGCUCCACCCAGUGUGAAAGAGAGUCUCCUUCUGGCUACCUUCGGAUCAAGAUGUAGAACUCUCAGAUCCUUCUCUAGCAUCAUGUCUGGCUGCAUGCUUCAAUGCUUCCUGCCAUCAUGAUGAUGGACUGAUCCUCUGAAACUGUAAGCCAGCCCCAAUGAAAUGUUUUCUUUUACAAGAGCUGCCUUGGUCAUGUUGUCCCUUAACAGUAAUGAAACCCUAAGACACUGUACACACACACACACACACACACACACACA
rnacentral:lncRNA from 1 species